rnacentral:rRNA from 1 species
UACGUAGGGUGCGAGCGUUGUCCGGAAUUAUUGGGCGUAAAGGGCUCGUAGGCGGUUUGUCGCGUCUGCUGUGAAAACUCGGGGCUUAACCCCGGGCCUGCAGUGGGUACGGGCAGACUAGAGGUAGGCAGGGGAGAGCGGAACUCCUGGUGUAGCGGUGGAAUGCGCAGAUAUCAGGAAGAACACCGGUGGCGAAGGCGGCUCUCUGGGCCUUACCUGACGCUGAGGAGCGAAAGCGUGGGUAGCGAACAGG